rnacentral:rRNA from 1 species
CAAAUUUGUACUGUGAAACUGCGAAUGGCUCAUUAAAUCAGUUAUAGUUUAUUUGAUGGUACAUUGCUACAUGGAUAACUGUGGUAAUUCUAGAGCUAAUACAUGCAAUCAAGCCCCGACUUCUGGGAGGGGUGUAUUUAUUAGAUAAAAAACCAACGCGGUUCGCCGCUCCCUUGGUGAUUCAUAAUAACUUCUCGAAUCGCAUGGCCUUGUGCCGGCGAUGCUUCAUUCAAAUAUCUGCCCUAUCAACUUUCGAUGG